ACGACCUCUCUUGGAUAAACACUGGUUUACUGGUUCCCAUACUGGUGAGCUGUACACUGGGACUUGUUUUCAUUGUCACCUUGAUGUGCUGCAUAUUAAGGCAAAAAAGAGUUGCUGCUGGACGAGACAAAGGCAUGCAUGUUGGAUACAAUACUGGAGACAAGGACGAGUAUGGCUCAAGAGUAUAACUCCUUGUUCUGAAUCACACUUCAAAGGAGCUCAGAAACUUCAACAUCCUUAAGACUUUUGUCCCUUUGCAUCACUCGCUUUAUUUAUUUUUUGCCCCAUGGGUCACUUUGGAGAUUUAUAAAGGCAUGCAAGGUUUAAUCACAUCACAUGAUAAAGUUUGCGUGUGGCUCUAGGGUUUUGGGAAGUACUUUUUUCUCUCAAGCCACAAUCUGGAGUCCUUUUGCUGUGUUGUGGCAGGCAGAAGAUGGUAGGCCUUCAUGCUGGAUGUUUUAAACUGCAUGCAAGAGGAACAGCUGUCCUCUUUAAUUCCACUUUAUUUAUCUGACAUGAUGUGGUGUGUUUCCUAAGGAGAGCUUCACACAGAGUCUACCAGGCAAGAGCCAAGAGCUGAACUGGUGAAAAUCUCAGGUCAAGUCAGAUCAUGGCACCCAUUCCCUAGGGCUGUCCUGGCAUGGUGGAAAGCCCAACCACAGUUCAAACAAUAGGGGGAUAGGAUUUGACAGACAUCUCUGAUGAUAGGAUGGCCCUAGAGGGAUGGGCUAUACCACAAUUCCAACAACCCUGUACUUACAGUUGCUUUAUGGAUUUCAUAAUAAAAGGGUGCUUAGCUUCAUUCAAACACAGCUCCUUCAUUGUGAAAAAUGUUGAGGAAAAAAAGGCUUUUGUGUUUCCAGCCACUCGUGGGCUGACCCCUAACCCUCUGUCCGGUAGUCGGAUCACAAGACUAACUCCCCAGCACUCCUGAUAGCUUCUUAGUUGGCCUGUAGGCUGUACAGUUAACCACAGGACUGCUGGAAAGUUAACAUGUUAUCCUCAUCAGGUUUCCCUUAGCCUUUCUUUAUGCCAUUCUUUUGUAUAAUUUGAGAUGAGUUAUUGCUUUGUGUAUUUUACAGACGUAGUCAGUUCCAUCUUCCUGCAGUAGUAAUGACCAUGUGGAGCUGUUAAUCCCUGGUUAAAGCGUGUUUGUCUGGUGAAAGCUGUAAUGUGUGGAGGUGAUGGAUGAACUGGAAAUUAUAUCAGAAUGUUUAGACUGAUUAAAAAGCCUGUGUAAAUGAGAAGUACAAUCUUAAAGCAAAAUAAGCAUGAGGUGAUUCGUUUUGUCACAAUAAAAUGCUCCCUCCGUGUGCCAGGUCUUUAACACAUUAAUAUAUUUUUUCUUGUAAUUGUUACUCGUUUAUUUAUUUUGUCUGCUCAUCAAAUUUUAUUCUUGUUAUACUGUUUUGUUUUGUUUGGGAUUUUAAAAAUAAAUGCACCAUUACAUGUGUCAAGAUGUGGCAAAUGGUAUGUUUGUCAUAGUGAGCUAUACAGUUUUUUGUGUACAACAAAUGCAGACAAAACUCAUCAUUAAAAAUGUUCAAAUACAA